ACUAACGGUACUUGGCACACACUCUGCAUAGGCAUUACCACAAUUUAAAUAAAGCGCGUUCUUCAACGAAGAAGACUGCACUUCCCGAUAGAACGGGACUUGGACAAAGGCGUCCUCGCUAGGUAACUAGCGGGACGCC
rfam:Pseudomonas sp. M30-35, complete genome.